GUACACUCCUACGGGAGGCAGCAGUGGGGAAUAUUGGACAAUGGGCGCAAGCCUGAUCCAGCCAUGCCGCGUGAGUGAUGAAGGCCCUAGGGUUGUAAAGCUCUUUCACCGGUGAAGAUAAUGACGGUAACCGGAGAAGAAGCCCCGGCUAACUUCGUGCCAGCAGCCGCGGUAAUACGAAGGGGGCUAGCGUUGUUCGGAUUUACUGGGCGUAAAGCGCACGUAGGCGGACUAUUAAGUCAGGGGUGAAAUCCCGGGGCUCAACCCCGGAACUGCCUUUGAUACUGGUAGUCUUGAGUUCGAGAGAGGUGAGUGGAAUUCCGAGUGUAGAGGUGAAAUUCGUAGAUAUUCGGAGGAACACCAGUGGCGAAGGCGGCUCACUGGCUCGAUACUGACGCUGAGGUGCGAAAGCGUGGGGAGCAAACAGGAUUAGAUACCCCUGUAGUCCCAUGAU
rnacentral:rRNA from 1 species